ensembl:scaRNA Gm24289 predicted gene, 24289
GUGGCUGUCUUAUGCUGGUUGCAUUUGUCAGAUGUUCAAUGCAGACCACAGACAGUCACACACAUCAAAUAUGGUUCCUGCCGACAGUGUCUGUAUAGUCAUCAGAUCUUCUGUGCGAUGGUUCCAUACAUC